rnacentral:rRNA from 1 species
GAUGAACGCUGGCGGCGUGCCUAAUACAUGCAAGUCGAGCGAACAGACGAGGAGCUUGCUCCUCUGACGUUAGCGGCGGACGGGUGAGUAACACGUGGAUAACCUACCUAUAAGACUGGGAUAACUUCGGGAAACCGGAGCUAAUACCGGAUAAUAUAUUGAACCGCAUGGUUCAAUAGUGAAAGACGGUUUUGCUGUCACUUAUAGAUGGAUCCGCGCCGCAUUAGCUAGUUGGUAAGGUAACGGCUUACCAAGGCAACGAUGCGUAGCCGACCUGAGAGGGUAAUCGGCCACACUGGAACUGAGACACGGUCCAGACUCCUACGGGAGGCAGCAGUAGGGAAUCUUCCGCAAUGGGCGAAAGCCUGACGGAGCAACGCCGCGUGAGUGAUGAAGGUCUUCGGAUCGUAAAACUCUGUUAUUAGGGUAGAACAAAUGUGUAAGUAACUAUGCACGUCUUGACGGUACCUAAUCAGAAAGCCACGGCUAACUACGUG